GCCGUUAGUGCAGUGGUUAGCAUACUGCCUUCCCAAACAAACGCCCAUGUUAUCGAUUGAUAACAUCGGUGGGUGUAAAUUGGAAAUCAGGCAGGGGUCGUGGGUUCGAGUACGUUACUAGUCA